rnacentral:rRNA from 1 species
UACGGAGGGUGCAAGCGUUGCUCGGAAUUAUUGGGCGUAAAGGGUAGGUAGGUGGUCUCAUUUGUCUGGGGUGAAAGCCUUGAGCUUAACUCAAGAAGUGCCCUAGAAACGGUGAGACUAGAGUCCUGGAGAGGGUCGUGGAAUUCCCGGUGUAGCGGUGAAAUGCGUAGAGAUCGGGAGGAACACCAGAGGCGAAGGCGGCUAUCUGGACGGUUUCUGACGCUAAGACGCGAAAGCGUGGGGAGCAAACAGG